rnacentral:rRNA from 1 species
UACGUAGGCUCCGAGCGUUAUCCGGAUUUAUUGGGCGUAAAGGGUGUGUAGGAGGUCUUGUGCGUCUCUUGUUAAAUUUCACCGCUCAACGGUGGAGCUGCGAGGGAUACGGCAAGACUAGAGGAUGUGAGAGGUAAGUAGAACGCAAGGUGUAGGGGUGAAAUCCGUUGAUAUCUUGCGGAAUACCAAAGGCGAAGGCAGCUUACUGGCACAUUUCUGACUCUGAAACACGAAAGCGUGGGGAGCAAAAAGG